AAGGAAGGCUGGAAGCAAUAAGCACUGCUAAUACUUACACCCACGGUUAAAUUCCGCGGCUUCCUUA
rnacentral:tRNA from 1 species